AAGAGCCGAAUGUGGGAAAACUACAAGUUCGGUUCUGUGAGGAGUGCGAGGCGGCAACACCUCCGCUUACUUGAC
rnacentral:ncRNA from 1 species